AUGAACGCUAGCGACAGGCUUAACACAUGCAAGUCGAGGGGCAGCACAGGUAGCAAUACCGGGUGGCGACCGGCGCACGGGUGAGUAACGCGUAUGCAACUUACCUAUCAGAGGGGGAUAACCCGGCGAAAGUCGGACUAAUACCGCAUGAAGCAGGGGCCCCGCAUGGGGAUAUUUGCUAAAGAUUCAUCGCUGAUAGAUAGGCAUGCGUUCCAUUAGGCAGUUGGCGGGGUAACGGCCCACCAAACCGACGAUGGAUAGGGGUUCUGAGAGGAAGGUCCCCCACAUUGGUACUGAGACACGGACCAAACUCCUACGGGAGGCAGCAGUGAGGAAUAUUGGUCAAUGGCCGAGAGGCUGAACCAGCCAAGUCGCGUGAGGGAUGAAGGUUCUAUGGAUCGUAAACCUCUUUUAUAAGGGAAUAAAGUGCGGGACGUGUCCCGUUUUGUAUGUACCUUAUGAAUAAGGAUCGGCUAACUCCGUGCCAGCAGCCGCGGUAAUACGGAGGAUCCGAGCGUUAUCCGGAUUUAUUGGGUUUAAAGGGUGCGUAGGCGGCCUUUUAAGUCAGCGGUGAAAGUCUGUGGCUCAACCAUAGAAUUGCCGUUGAAACUGGGGGGCUUGAGUAUGUUUGAGGCAGGCGGAAUGCGUGGUGUAGCGGUGAAAUGCAUAGAUAUCACGCAGAACCCCGAUUGCGAAGGCAGCCUGCCAAGCCAUGACUGACGCUGAUGCACGAAAGCGUGGGGAUCAAACAGGAUUAGAUACCCUGGUAGUCCACGCAGUAAACGAUGAUCACUAGCUGUUUGCGAUACACAGUAAGCGGCACAGCGAAAGCGUUAAGUGAUCCACCUGGGGAGUACGCCGGCAACGGUGAAACUCAAAGGAAUUGACGGGGGCCCGCACAAGCGGAGGAACAUGUGGUUUAAUUCGAUGAUACGCGAGGAACCUUACCCGGGUUUGAACGCAUUCGGACCGAGGUGGAAACACCUUUUCUAGCAAUAGCCGUUUGCGAGGUGCUGCAUGGUUGUCGUCAGCUCGUGCCGUGAGGUGUCGGCUUAAGUGCCAUAACGAGCGCAACCCUUGCCACUAGUUACUAACAGGUGAUGCUGAGGACUCUGGUGGGACUGCCAGCGUAAGCUGCGAGGAAGGCGGGGAUGACGUCAAAUCAGCACGGCCCUUACAUCCGGGGCGACACACGUGUUACAAUGGCGUGGACAAAGGGAGGCCACCUGGCGACAGGGAGCGAAUCCCCAAACCACGUCUCAGUUCGGAUCGGAGUCUGCAACCCGACUCCGUGAAGCUGGAUUCGCUAGUAAUCGCGCAUCAGCCAUGGCGCGGUGGAUACGUUCCCGGGCCUUGUACACACCGCCCGUCAAGCCAUGGGAGCCGGGGGUACCUGAAGUCCGUAACCGCGAGGAUCGGCCUAGGGUAAAACUGGUGACUGGGGCU
rnacentral:rRNA from 1 species